UUUUGCGACUAUGACCCGAAUGCACCCCAUCUCAUCAGAUCUCAGAAGCUAAGCGGGCUUGAGCCUGGAUAGUUCUCGGAUGGGCGACCACCAUGCACAACAAGUUUGUUACAGGCA
rnacentral:rRNA from 1 species